GAUGAACGCUGGCGGCGUGCCUAAUACAUGCAAGUCGAGCGAACGGACGAGAAGCUUGCUUCUCUGAUGUUAGCGGCGGACGUGUGUGUAACACGUGGAUAACCUCCCUAUCAGACUGGGAUAACUACGGGACACCGGAGCUAAUACCGGAUAAUAUCUUGAACCGCAUGGUUCAAUAGUGAAAGACGGUCUUGCUGUCACUUAUAGAUGGAUCCGCGCUGCAUUAGCUAGUUGGUAAGGUAACGGCUUACCACGGCAACGAUGCAUAGCCGACCUGAGAGGGGGAUCGGCCACACUGGAGCUGAGACGCGGUCCAGACUCCUACGGGAGGCAGCAGUAGGGAACGUGCGGCAGCGGGCGAGAGCCUGACGGAGCAACGCGGCGUGUGUGAUGAAGGUCUUCGGAGCGUAAAACUCUGUUAUUAGGUAAGAACAGAUGUGUAAGUAACUGUGCACAUCUUGACGGUAACUAAUCAGAAAGCCACGGCUAACUACGUG
rnacentral:rRNA from 1 species